UUGGAGGGCAAGUCUGGUGCCAGCAGCCGCGGUAAUUCCAGCUCCAAUAGCGUAUAUUAAAGUUGUUGCAGUUAAAAAGUCUCGUAGUUGAAUUUCGGGACUAGUACGUUGGUCGUGCCUUAGGUACGUACUGGUGUUACUGGUUCCUACCUUCUGACGAACCAUUAUGUCAUUAAUUUGGUGUGGUGGGGAAUCAGGACUGUUACUUUGAAAAAAUUAGAGUGUUUAAAGCAGGCUCGCGCUUGAAUACAUUAGCAUGGAAUAAUGAAAUAGGACGUUG
rnacentral:rRNA from 1 species